AUUUUCUUAAUAUUAUUUAUAAACAAAAACUGUUUUGUAAGACGUGUUCUUUUGGUUUGUUUGUUUGUUUGUUUGUUUCGCUGAUGUAGCCAGAGAAUG
rnacentral:miRNA from 1 species